GAUGAACGCUGACAGAAUGCUUAACACAUGCAAGUCUUUGGCGAAUCUGUGCUUGCACAGGCUAGCCAAGGCGGACGGGUGAGUAACGCGUAAAGAACUUGCCCUGCAGACAGGGAUAACAGACGGAAACGACUGAUAACACCUGAUACAGUUGCCGGCACGCAUGUGCCUGGCAAUGAAAAGAGAUGCUGCAGGAGAGCUUUGCGUCCUAUUAGCUUGUUGGUGAGGUGACGGCUCACCAAGGCGAUGAUAGGUAGCCGGCCUGAGAGGGUGAACGGCCACAAGGGGACUGAGAGACGGCCCUUACUCCUACGGGAGGCAGCAGUGGGGAAUAUUGGACAAUGGGGGCAACCCUGAUCCAGCAAUUCUGUGUGCACGAAGAAGGUUUUCGGAGUGUAAAGUGCUUUCAGCAGGGAAGAAGAAAGUGACGGUACCUGCAGAAGAAGCGACGGCUAAAUACGUG
rnacentral:rRNA from 1 species